rnacentral:rRNA from 1 species
UACGUAGGGGGCGAGCGUCGUCCGAAUUUACUGGGCGUAAAGCGCGCGUAGGCGGUUUCUUAAGUCUGGGGUGAAAGGUUCAACGCUCAACGUGAACAGUGCCUUGGAUACUGGGAGACUUGAGUCUGGGAGGGGGUAGUGGAAUUCCAGGUGUAGCGGUGAAAUGCGUAGAUAUCUGGAGGAACACCGGUGGCGAAGGCGGCAUCCUGGACCGGUAUUGACGCUGAGGCGCGAAAGCCAGGGGAGCAAACGGG